UUUAAUUCACAGACUCUUCCCCUAGCAUAAGAACUUGAUUCUAGGAAUUGCCUGUGCUCUCAAUUCGUGGAGAUGUGCCUUCCAACUCUUAUUAUUAUUCUGUUAUUGUUAUUCUGACUUACGACCACAAUUGAGCCCAAAAUGUCUUGCUGAAAUAUUGGUUAAGUGAGUUUUGCCUCAUUUUGUGACAGUUAGCAACAUGGUUAAAUGUCAGAAGUUCACAAAAGGGUCCAUGUGAUGCCAGGACACGGCCACUGUCAUAAGCAUGAUUCAAUGGCCAAUUGUCUGAACGUUGACCAUGUGACUGUGGGGAAUCCUGCAAUGGUCACAUGAAAAAUAGACAUUUUACCUUUUUCCAAAGGGUUAAAUACUUCGUUGAACUGCUGUUUGUAACUCAGUGACUGGCCGGAAUUGUGAACCAGUCUCUGAUGCCGGGAGUGGCCUUUUCCUUGUAGAAAAUGAGGAGGAAAGAUGAAGAAUUAGAUGAGGAAGAUGACCUGGAUGGCAAGGAUGAGGAGAACGGGGGUGAUGAUGAGGACGAAGAUGAUGAGGAUGACGGAGACGAGGAUGAGGAUGAGGACGAAGAAGCUGGGAAAGAUGAAUCAGAUGAAAACCAGUCUUCAGAGACAGCAAGUGAAUCCAAUCCUCCUCCUCCUUCAUCAGAAAUGGGCUGUGUUGAUGCAAGGCCAGAUUUUCAUGAUGACGUUGCAGUGAAGUGCCACCAUCAAAGCAGAUGAAGGUGGCACCAGAGGCCACCUUUACAGUGGUGGGACUCCCCUCACAGGAGAGUCAGGGGCCUAAAAUUAAUGAACAGAUGAAAAUUGUGAUGUUGGAAGCCGUACAACAGGGCUUCGCUGCAGGCCUACAACAGAGACGUCAGGCUGCUCCUGUGGCACCAGAAACGCC
rnacentral:lncRNA from 1 species